rnacentral:pre_miRNA from 15 species
ACUGAAGAUAGUAACCGGUCAGAAUAAUGUCAAAGUGCUUACAGUGCAGGUAGUGAUAUGUAGAAUCUACUGCAGUGAAGGCACUUGUAGCAUUAUAGUGACAGCCGCCUCUGGAACUGUA